ACUGCUUCUCAGCCUUUUGGCUAAGAUCAAAGGUAGUAUCUGUUCUUACCAGUUUCACUUACGAUAGGACGACAGGUGUAAUCUUAGUGGUGGGCACAUGUACAGCUAUGUCUGAAGCUUUACAAAAGCCAUCCAUGUAAACAAACAUGGUCUCUUAAUACUU
ensembl:snRNA U2 U2 spliceosomal RNA